rnacentral:misc_RNA from 1 species
CUCGCGUGCGGUGGGCCCGGACGACCGGAGGGCAUCGACCGCGGUUACUUCGUGCGCCCCACCGUGUUCGGCCGGGUGGACGAGAACAUGACCAUCGCCCAGCAGGAGAUCUUCGGCCCGGUUGUUUCCGUGAUGCCGUACGAGGAUGAGGGUGACGCGGUACGGAUCGCCAACGGCACUCCGUACGGGCUGCACGGUGCGGUGUGGUCGGCUGACGACAGCCGGGCCCGCCGUGUGGCCGGGCAGUUGCGCACCGGUCUGGUCGACGUCAACGGCGGCCAGUUCAACGUUCUGGCGCCGUUCGGCGGCUUCAAGCAGUCGGGAAUCGGCCGUGAGUGCGGCGUCGAAGGCCUGGCGGGGUUCUGCGAGACCAAGUCCAUACAGCUACCGGUAGCGGCGACCGAACCUGUCGGCCCCCGGUUGCGUGAGACCAGUUGAC